rnacentral:tRNA from 1 species
AGCGAAAUAGCUCAGUUGGGAGAGCUUUAGACUAUAGAUCGAAGGGUCCCUGGAUCGAUCCCGGGAUUCGGCUA